GACGAACGCUGGCGGCGUGCUUAACACAUGCAAGUCGAACGGAAAGGCCCUGCUUUUGUGGGGUGCUCGAGUGGCGAACGGGUGAGUAACACGUGAGUAACCUGCCCUUGACUUUGGGAUAACUUCAGGAAACUGGGGCUAAUACCGGAUAGGAGCUCCUGCUGCAUGGUGGGGGUUGGAAAGUUUCGGCGGUUGGGGAUGGACUCGCGGCUUAUCAGCUUGUUGGUGGGGUAGUGGCUUACCAAGGCUUUGACGGGUAGCCGGCCUGAGAGGGUGACCGGCCACAUUGGGACUGAGAGACGGCCCAGACUGCAACGGGAGGCAGCAGUGGGGAAUAUUGCACAAUGGGCGGAAGCCUGAUGCAGCAACGCCGCGUGCGGGAUGACGGCCUUCGGGGUGUAAACCGCUUUCGCCUGUGACGAAGCGUGAGUGACGGUAAUGGGUAAAGAAGCACCGGCUAACUACGUG
rnacentral:rRNA from 1 species